rnacentral:ribozyme from 1 species
UGACAAAAAGUAAAAAAAAGGAUUAAAUAUGCAGCAGCACUUCUUUUCAUCCACUCUUGCCUUCACAUCGAUGUUUUUCCACUGUUUUUCUUUUUUCUGUUUUUCUUUUUUCUUUG